rfam:Phytophthora parasitica INRA-310 unplaced genomic scaffold supercont2.573, whole genome shotgun sequence.
GAUGAUGUAGUUUAAUGGUAGAGCGUGGGAAUCAUAAUCCUAAUGUUGUAGGUUCAAAUCCUACCAUCAUUA